rnacentral:rRNA from 1 species
GACGAACGCUGGCGGCGUGCUUAACACAUGCAAGUCGAACGGAAAGGCCCUGCUUUUGUGGGGUGCUCGAGUGGCGAACGGGUGAGUAACAUGUGAGUAACCUGCCCUUGACUUUGGGAUAACUUCAGGAAACUGGGGCUAAUACCGGAUAGGAGCUCCUGCUGCAUGGUGGGGGUUGGAAAGUUUCGGCGGUUGGGGAUGGACUCGCGGCUUAUCAGCUUGUUGGUGGGGUAGUGGCUUACCAAGGCUUUGACGGGUAGCCGGCCUGAGAGGGUGACCGGCCACAUUGGGACUGAGGUACGGCCCAGACUCCUACGGGAGGCAGCAGUGGGGAGUAUUGCACAAUGGGCGGAAGCCUGAUGCAGCAACGCCGCGUGCGGGAUGACGGCCUUCGGGUUGUAAACCGCUUUCGCCUGUGACGAAGCGUGAGUGACGGUAAUGGGUAAAGAAGCACCGGCUAACUACGUG